UGUCUAAUUAAAACAAAGCAUUGCGAUGGCCGCUGGUCGGUGUUGACGCAAUGUGAUUUCUGCCCAGUGCUCUGAAUGUCAACGUGAAGAGAUUCAUCAAAGCGCGGGUAAACGGCGGGAGUAACUAUGACUCUCUUGUCCGGUCGGUCUGCAUGCCGUCCGCUCGGGGUGAGACGUCAUGGUUGCUUGCUUGCACAGAAAUCCAACUCUCACCUGCUCGUGGUGUCCGCUGCCAGUGGAGUACGCCGAUGAAAGGGAU
rnacentral:rRNA from 1 species